AGUGGGAGCACCCUUCGGGGUGUGACUGCGUACCUUUUGUAUAAUGGGUCAGCGACUUAUAUUCUGUAGCAAGGUUAACCGUAUAGGGGAGCCGGAGGGAAACCGAGUCUUAAUUGGGCGUUAAGUUGCAGGGUAUAGACCCGAAACCCGGUGAUCUAGCCAUGGGCAGGUUGAAGGUUGGGUAACACUAACUGGAGGACCGAACCGACUAAUGUUGAAAAAUUAGCGGAUGACCUGUGGCUGGGGGUGAAAGGCCAAUCAAACCGGGAGAUAGCUGGUUCUCCCCGAAAGCUAUUUAGGUAGCGCCUCGUGAAUUCAUCUCCGGGGGUAGAGCACUGUUUCGGCUAGGGGGCCAUCCCGGCUUACCAACCCGAUGCAAACUGCGAAUACCGGAGAAUGUUAUCACGGGAGACACACGGCGGGUGCUAACGUCCGUCGUGAAGAGGGAAACAACCCAGACCGCCAGCUAAGGUCCCAAAGUCAUGGUUAAGUGGGAAACGAUGUGGGAAGGCCCAGACAGCCAGGAUGUUGGCUUAGAAGCAGCCAUCAUUUAAAGAAAGCGUAAUAGCUCACUGGUCGAGUCGGCCUGCGCGGAAGAUGUAACGGGGCUAAACCAUGCACCGAAGCUGCGGCAGCGAACGUAUCACC
rnacentral:rRNA from 1 species